rnacentral:tRNA from 1 species
GGAGCUGGGGCUCAGUGGUAGAGCACUUGCCUGGCAUGUGUGAGGCACUGGGUUCGAUUCUCAGCACCA